UAAUUGUUUGAACAGAACCUUUCCCAAAUGAUUUAGUCCCAAUUAUAAUUGCUCUUUUAUGAUCUUGCAGGGCGCCAGCAACAAUUUCUGAAGCAGAAGCUGAACCACCAUUAAUAAUUACAAUAAGCGGUUUUGCAUCAAUGAGGUCACCAGAUUUUGCCUGGUAUCUUUGCAUGUCAAUUUUUUUUCGACCGCGCGUUGAAACAAUUUCUCCUCUUUCCAGAAAAAUAUCAGUAACUUUAACAGCUUGUUUUAGCAAUCCCCCAGGAUU
rnacentral:ncRNA from 1 species